UCGAGAAUAUUCGACAAUGGACGAAAGUCUGAUCGAGCGACGCCGCGUGGAGGAUGAAGGUCUUCGGAUUGUAAACUCCUUUUCUACAGCAAAAAGUUAUUGAUUACUGUAGGAAUAAGACGCUGCAAACUUCGUGCCAGCAGCCGCGGUAAUACGAAGGCGUCAAGCGUUAUCCGGAUUUAUUGGGCGUAAAGAGUGCGUAGGGGGUUCAGUGCGUCUGUUGUUAAAUGUCACCGCUUAACGGUGUCGCUGCAAUGGAAACGGCUGAACUAGAGGGGGCUAGAGGCUAAUAGAACAUACGGUGUAGGGGUGAAAUCCGUUGAUAUCGUGUGGAAUACCAAAGGCGAAGGCAUUUAGCUGGGGCCUUCCUGACCCUUAAGCACGAAAGCGUGGGGAGCAA
rnacentral:rRNA from 1 species